GAUGAACGCUGGCGGCGUGCCUAAUACAUGCAAGUCGAGCGAACAGAUGAGGAGCUUGCUCCUCUGACGUUAGCGGCGGACGGGUGAGUAACACGUGGAUAACCUACCUAUAAGACUGGGAUAACUUCGGGAAACCGGAGCUAGUACCGGAUAAUAUAUUGAACCGCAUGGUUCAAUAGUGAAAGACGGUUUUGCUGUCACUUAUAGAUGGAUCCGCGCCGCAUUAGCUAGUUGGUAAGGUAACGGCUUACCAAGGCAACGAUGCGUAGCCGACCUGAGAGGGUGAUCGGCCACACUGGAACUGAGACACGGUCCAGACUCCUACGGGAGGAAGCAGUAGGGAAUCUUCCGCAAUGGGCGAAAGCCUGACGGAGCAACGCCGCGUGAGUGAUGAAGGUCUUCGGAUCGUAAAACUCUGUUAUUAGGGAAGAACAAAUGUGUAAGUAACUAUGCACGUCUUGACGGUACCUAAUCAGAAAGCCACGGCUAACUACGUG
rnacentral:rRNA from 1 species